rnacentral:lncRNA from 1 species
GAGUUCACAAAAGUUAGUAAAAAAGAGAGUUUAUUAAUUGAAGGGAGGUAUUCUUUUUGUGGAACUUUGAACUUAACUCUUGUCCAGAGUUGUUCUUGUGAGAAGACUAUUGAAUCCUAGAGAGGACAAGUCAAGAAGAUUACUGCUAGAUCGGUGAAAUAAUUUUUUGCAAUGGACUUGAAUCACCUUGAAGAGAGUGAGAUAUCCACGUCUCAUCCAAAGAAGAAGAUAUUUUUUUUUUAUUUUCUUCACUUGUAAUUUUCAGUUGUAAUUUUAU